UACGUAGGGCGCAAGCGUUAUCCGGAAUUAUUGGGCGUAAAGAGCUCGUAGGCGGUUUGUCGCGUCUGCCGUGAAAGUCCGGGGCUCAACUCCGGAUCUGCGGUGGGUACGGGCAGACUAGAGUGAUGUAGGGGAGACUGGAAUUCCUGGUGUAGCGGUGAAGUGCGCAGAUAUCAGGAGGAACGCCGAUGGCGAAGGCAGGUCUCUGGGCAUUAACUGACGCUGAGGAGCGAAAGCAUGGGGAGCGAACAGG
rnacentral:rRNA from 1 species